rnacentral:lncRNA from 10 species
CGCUCGGGAGCCUCUCGGAAUAAAUAUUUCCAGGCUCCGGGCCACGGGCUGGCGAGACCCCGCGGGGUGGCCGCAGGCCAAAGAUUAUUUAUAGCGAAAACUACUUCCAGCUAAAUGUGCACACACGCCAGUACAGCCGAAAAGUGACUCUGCAGAACCCGGAGCCCUAAUCACUUUUCCACAUGCGCCUCCGGCCCGGCGCGCGACGGGGAACGAGCUGGGAGCGCCCGCGCAGCCAGGAGGGGGGCUGGGCCGCGGGAACGCUGUCCCCCUCCCAGGCUGGAAGGCGGGGAUAAUUCCCCCUGCCGUGCAGCCCUUCUAGACGGCGUCUACCCCUUUAAGAAAAAUCUAGGCGGAGGUGGGGUGCGACAGAAGGGGUGGUGAGGCGAGGGUUUCCCUCCCUCCGUCUGCUAUACCCGUCUCCCUCGCUCCGUCUCACUCUCCGUCUUUCCUCUCCUUCUUUUCCUCUGUUUUUCUUUUCUUUCAACACAAAAGUUGGGUUGUGAAUUUUCCGAGGUCGCCGCCGCCUCGCCCCCACCCCCCGCCUCUGAUCUGCCUAACUAUAAUUAAAGUGCGUUUUUUGUGGCAUUAAUAAAGAGUUAUUUGUCCGCCGUUUCCACGGUCUUCACAAAGAGUACUUUCAUAGGGGCGGCCGCUCGGGCCGCGAGUCCAAUUUAUACAAAAAUGUUGUAUUUUUAGCCCUGGGCUCUGUUUAGAUGGCGCUCGGUGGAAACGGAGAGCCCUUGGAGGUCCCCCCGUAAAAUCUGAUAAAUGACUCCGAAAAAAUAACGCUGGGAUUCAGAGGGCUCUCAUUAACC